rnacentral:rRNA from 1 species
UACGUAGGGACCAAGCGUUGUUCGGAUUUACUGGGCGUAAAGGGCGCGUAGGCGGCUUAACAAGUCACUUGUGAAAUCUCCGGGCUUAACUCGGAACGGCCAAGUGAAACUGUCAAGCUAGAGUGCAGAAGGGGCAACCGGAAUUCCCAGUGUAGCGGUGAAAUGCGUAGAUAUUGGGAAGAACACCAGAGGCGAAGGCGGGUUGCUGGGCCGACACUGACGCUGAGGCGCGAAAGCCAGGGGAGCAAACGGG